CGGCCGCUGGGACGGGCCCUAGGCACUGAGGGAGCCUUUUCUUUGCCAGGGCGAGGGGACGAACACUUAGGCAAAAGCACUGGCGCUGCGGCUCAGUCCUCCCUUCUCUCUCUCAGUGUCCAGCUUUGAAAGGGAGGAGCCCUUCCUGCUGGCGUGGAAACCAUGGUGCUCACGCUCGGAGAAAGUUGGCCAGUAUUGGUGGGGAAGCGAUUCCUCAGUCUGUCCGCAGCUGAAGGCAGCGACGGCGGCCACGACAACUGGGACUUGGAGCGCGUUGCAGAGUGGCCCUGGCUGUCCGGGACCAUUCGAGCUGUUUCUCACACUGACGUUACCAAGAAAGAUUUGAAGGUUUGUGUGGAGUUUGAUGGAGAGUCUUGGAGAAAGAGAAGAUGGAUAGAUGUCUACAGCCUUCUAAGAAGAGCAUUUUUAGUAGAACAUAACCUGGUUCUGGCAGAACGAAAAUCACCUGAGAUUCCUGAGCAAGUUAUUCAGUGGCCUGCAAUAAUGUACAAAUCUCUACUAGACAAAGCUGGCUUGGGAUCCAUAACUUCUGUUCGCUUCCUUGGAGAUCAGCAAAGUGUAUUUGUUUCCAAAGACCUUUUGAAACCUAUACAGGAUGUAAACAGUCUUCGGCUUUCCCUUACUGAUAAUCAGACGGUCAGUAAAGAGUUUCAAGCUUUGAUUGUAAAACAUUUGGAUGAAAGCCAUCUU
rnacentral:lncRNA from 1 species